GCCAGCCGUAGUGUAAAGGUAACACGUCUGACCCGGCUUGUCAGAAGAAGUGGGUUCAAAUCCCAUCGGUGGCG